CCCCUAGAUGUUCUGGGCCGCACGCGCGCUACACUGAACAGUUCAACAAGUCUUAACCUUGGCCGAUAGGUCUGGGUAAUCUUUGAACGCUGUUCGUGAUUGGGAUAGACCUUUGCAAUUAUGGGUCUUCAACGAGGAAUUCCUAGUAAACGCAAGUCAUCAGCUUGCAUUGAUUACGUCCCUGCCCUUUGUACACACCGCCCGUCGCACCUACCGAUUGAAUGGUCCGGUGAGGCCCCCGGAUUGUGGCAAUGGCUCUGGUUCGCCAGACCAAUGCUGCGAGAAGCUGUCCAAACCUUAUCAUUUAGAGGAAGGAGAAGUCGUAACA
rnacentral:rRNA from 1 species